rnacentral:rRNA from 1 species
CCUACGGGUGGCAGCAGUGAGGAAUAUUGGUCAAUGGGCGGGAGCCUGAACCAGCCAAGUCGCGUGAGGGAAGACGGUCCUAUGGAUUGUAAACCUCUUUAGUCGGGGAGCAAUGCCCCGCACGUGUGCCCUUUUGGAUAGUCCCUGCAGAUUAAGCCUCGGCUAACUCCUUGCCAGCAGCCCCGGUAAUCCGGAGGAUGCGAGCGGUAUCCGGAUUUAUUGGGUUUAAAGGGUGCGUAGGCGGAUUUUUAAGCCAGCGGUAAAAUGUGCGGGCCCAACCCGGGCCGGCCGUUGAAACUGGGGGUCUGGAGUGGGCGAGAAGUAUGCGGAAUGCGUGGUGUAGCGGUGAAAUGCAUAGAUAUCACGAAGAACUCCGAUUGCGAAGGCAGCAUACCGGAGCACGACUGACGCUGAGGCACGAAAGCGUGGGGAUCGAACAGGAUUAGAUACCCGGGUAGUC